CCUACGGGUGGCUGCAGUGGGGAAUAUUGCACAAUGGGCGCAAGCCUGAUGCAGCCAUGCCGCGUGUGUGAAGAAGGCCUUCGGGUUGUAAAGCACUUUCAGCGGGGAGGAAGGCGGUGAGGUUAAUAACCUCAUCGAUUGACGUUACCCGCAGAAGAAGAACCGGCUAACUCCGUGCCAGCAGCCGCGGUAAUACGGAGGGUGCAAGCGUUAAUCGGAAUUACUGGGCGUAAAGCGCACGCAGGCGGUCUGUCAAGUCGGAUGUGAAAUCCCCGGGCUCAACCUGGGAACUGCAUUCGAAACUGGCAGGCUAGAGUCUUGUAGAGGGGGGUAGAAUUCCAGGUGUAGCGGUGAAAUGCGUAGAGAUCUGGAGGAAUACCGGUGGCGAAGGCGGCCCCCUGGACAAAGACUGACGCUCAGGUGCGAAAGCGUGGGGAGCAAACAGGAUUAGAUACCCCAGUAGUC
rnacentral:rRNA from 1 species